rnacentral:sRNA from 1 species
GCUCGAGAGAUGUUGAUAGAAAAACGC